rnacentral:rRNA from 1 species
UACGAAGGGGGCUAGCGUUGUUCGGAAUUACUGGGCGUAAAGCGCACGUAGGCGGACUACUAAGUCAGGGGUGAAAUCCCGGGGCUCAACCCCGGAACUGCCUUUGAUACUGAUAGUCUCGAGUCCGGAAGAGGUGAGUGGAAUUCCGAGUGUAGAGGUGAAAUUCGUAGAUAUCAAGCGGAACACCGGUGGCGAAGGCGGCCUUCUGGACAGUGACUGACGCUGAGACGCGAAAGCGUGGGGAGCAAACAGG